rnacentral:rRNA from 1 species
GACGAACGCUGGCGGCGUGCUUAACACAUGCAAGUCGAGCGGUAAGGCUCCUUCGGGAGUACACGAGCGGCGAACGGGUGAGUAACACGUGAGCAAUCUGCCCUUCACUCUGGGAUAACCCUCGGAAACGAGAGCUAAUACCGGAUACGAUCACUUCAGGCAUCUGAUGGUGAUGGAAAGUUCCGGCGGUGAAGGAUGAGCUCGCGGCCUAUCAGCUUGUUGGUGAGGUAAUGGCUCACCAAGGCUUCGACGGGUAGUCGGCCUGAGAGGGUGACCGGCCACACUGGGACUGAGACACGGCCCAGACUCCUACGGGAGGCAGCAGUGGGGAAUAUUGGACAAUGGGCGAAAGCCUGAUCCAGCAACGCCGCGUGAGGGAUGACGGCCUUCGGGUUGUAAACCUCUUUCAGCACAGACGAAGCGCAAGUGACGGUAUGUGCAGAAGAAGGACCGGCCAACUACGUGCCAGCAGCCGCGGUAACAC